UACAGAGGGUGCGAGCGUUGUUCGGAAUUAUUGGGCGUAAAGAGCGUGUAGGCGGCCAGGCAGGUCUGCUGUGAAAACUCGAGGCUCAACCUCGAGACGUCGGCGGAAACCAUCUGGCUAGAGUCCGGAAGAGGAGAGUGGAAUUCCUGGUGUAGCGGUGAAAUGCGCAGAUAUCAGGAAGAACACCCGUGGCGAAGGCGGCUCUCUGGGACGGUACUGACGCUGAGACGCGAAAGCGUGGGGAGCGAACAGG
rnacentral:rRNA from 1 species